UCUCUCUCUCUCUCUCUCUGGUGUAUUUCUUCCUCUGGCUCUCGUGCCUUCCCCAGACAUCUCACACAGCCGCCGCCGCCGAGGGUUAGGGUUUGUGGCCGGAGAUCCCUCGAUUGGAUUGGAGCGGCCGGCGCGGCGUGGUCGAAUCGAAUCGAAGAGAAGCGAUAGAGAUGGACGCGCAGCGUGCUCUGCUGGACGCGCUGAUGGGGUCGUCGCGGGACCUGACGGAGGAGGAGAAGAAGGAGCACCGGGAGGUGGCGUGGGACGACCCCGACGUGUGCGCCCCCUACAUGGCCCGCUUCUGCCCCCACGACCUCUUCAUCAACACCAAGAGCAACCUCGGAGUAUGCCCAAAGAUCCACGACCCGGCCCUAAAGCAAAGCUUCGAGUCCUCCCCCCGCUACGCCGCCGUCCUCCCCAAAUUCGAGGCUGACCUCGCCCACCGCUGCGAGAGGCUGGUCCAGGACCUGGAUAAGAAGAUCAGGCGCGGCCGCGACAGGCUUGCGCAGGACGUCGUGGAGGUGCCGCCCCCCGCCGCCCAUGCCGAGAAGGUCGAGCAGCUCGCCAUUCUCGAAGACAAGAUCAAGAAGCUGCUCGAGCAGAUUGAGCAGCUCGGCGACACCGGCAAGAUCGACGAGGCCACUGCGCUCAUGAGGAAGGUGGACAUUCUCAACCUCGAGAAGUCGGCUCUGACCCACCAGAUAGAGACCAAGCUCUCCAUGGUCCCGCAAGAGAAGAAGAUGGAGCUCUGCGAGCAGUGCGGCUCCUUUCUCGUCACCAACGACGUCCUUGAGAGGACGCAGUCCCAUGUCACCGGCAAACAACACAUUGGUUAUGGUCUGGUCAGGGAAUUCCUCGCCGAAUACAAGGCUGCGAAAGAAGCGGAGAAGCUUGCAAGGGAGAAGGAAGCAGAGGAGCGUCAGAACCGGGAGAGAGGAUACCAUAACAGAGGCCACCGCGACGACUAUAGGGAGAGAUCCAGGGAGCAUGACCGUGACCGCUACUAUGAGCGAGGAAGCCGUGACAGAGAGAGGCCCUAUGAGCAGGGAGGUAGAGGGUCAGACUAUAGAGGCGGUUCCUAUAACAGCCGCAGGGAUUCUGAAAGGGCGAGGCCCAGAGAUAGGAACGGUGGUGAUUUUUCAAGAAGAGGAGACCCGGGGAGGGUGAGGAGCAGGUCCCGGUCUCCAGGCAGGCAUGGUUAUUAAUCAUUUCAAGUUAUAUGAGACUCAUGAGCUCUUUGUUGAAACCAUACCCCUAUGGUCUUCCUUUUAUUAUAGAGAGGAUAAAAAACAGAGGAAGGUACCAUCUGUUUCUUGGCAAUAUUUCUGUGUUUAUUACAUCUUACGUGCACUCUGAGAUUGUGUUUCCAGUCUAGGAACUGAGAAAAUGUUGUUUGAUAUGAUAAGAGCUGAAAGCCGUAUGAUGAUACUAUCAUCCUAUCCUAUCCUAGGCAGGUAUUCCGUAACCUCUGUCUGUCUUACAUGUUAAAAUGAUUGAUUGAUUGAUGACAUACAAGGUUUGGUUAGGACCUGGAAGAAACACUAGACAGGUAACCUCCAUCUUAUACAUGUUAAAAUGAUUGAUGAUAUAUACAAGGUUGGGUCGGACCGGACCUGGAAGAAACAGUAGGAAGGUAACCCGUAACCUCCAUCUUAUACUACAUGUUAAAAUGGUUGAUGAUACGACCUGGGAGAACAGUAGGAAGGUAACCCGUAACCUCCAUCUUAUACUACAUGUUAAAAUGGUUGAUGAUACGACCUGGGAGAACAGUAGGAAGGUAACCCGUAAUCUCCGUCUUAUACAUGUUAAAAUGAUUGAUGAUAUAUACAAGGCUGGUUCGGACCGGACCUGGAAGAAACAGUAGGAAGGUAAUCCGUCACCUCUGUCUUGCAUGUUAAAAUGGUUGAUGAUACGACCUGGAAGAACAGUAAGCAGGUAACCCGUAACCUGUCUUGCAUGCUGAAUUGAUGACGUAUGGAAGGUUGGGUGGGACCUGGAAAAUUCAGGUAACAUUAUAGUAGAGCGGUUUCUGAAUGCCUAGUCUUGUACGUACAAGAUUUAAUUUGCACUGCCAGUACAGAUUCUGUGUACUGCGCCAGGCCUUUCUUCUUGACAGAUUUUAAGAAAUGACAUUGACUAGUAUCUGCAGUAGGUGUAUGGUACAAUCGUUAAACACGUGGAUUAUUAGGUGUGAUAUGAUGAAAAUUACUAUCGUACAGGGUUGGGUAGGACCUGGAAGAAACAGUAGGCAGGUAACCCGUAACCUCUGUCUUGCAUGUUAAACUGAUGAUGAUAUAUGCAAGGUUGGUUUGUUUAGGACCUGGAAAAUUCAGGUUAACAUUAUAGGAUAUAUGCAAGGUUUCUGAAGGCCCAGUCUUGUACAAGAUUUAAUUUGCACCGCCAGGCAUUUCUUGUCGACAGAUUUUAAGAGAUGACAUUGACUAGUAUCUGCAGUAGGUGUAUCGUACAAUCGUUAAAACACGAGGAUGGCCGACAUUGGGAUUUCUUUCAGUCUAGGAACUGAAAAAUUGUUGUGCGAUAGAGCUGAACGUCUUGAGAUGAUGAUAGCACUAUCAUAUCAUCCUAGGCAGUGCAGUGCAGGUAACCCGUAACCUCUGUCUGUCUGUCUGUCUGGCUUGCAUGUUUAAUAAUUGAAGUUGACAUAGAUACAUGGCUGGGUAAGGAGGGGACCUGGAAGAGUGAUUUUUUGGCAGAAGAACAAGAGGAUUGGAUGGUCAACUUGGGACUUGUUUGGUACAUCAACCAGAAGAAUGAAUUCCAGUGAGUGUUGUUGGCCGGUGCAUGCCACAGAGAUGAAUGCUACUCCCUCCGUUCCACAAUACAUGCCUUCCCUCUGUCAAAAUAUAGAUGUAUCUAGACAUGUUUUAGUAUAUAGGUACAUUCAUUUUUGGACAAAUGAAAAUCAAGUAUUUUGGAACGGAGGGAGUAGAUUUCAAUUACUUUCCAGUGAGUGUUGUUGGCCGGUGCAUGCCACAGAGAUGAAUGCUAGAUUUCAAUUACAGAAUCACCCUUUUGGGCGUCGAGAAUUCUGCUCGACGGUUGAGAGUUGAAUUUGAGCUUUGAGCGGACUUGAAACGUUUUGGAGUAUGUUCAAGUUGUAUUUUCUGUUCUCGCAAACACAGGCGUACGUACCAAGUGACGUGCGAUGUGAUUAUAUAUACGUAUAUAGAAACAGGCUUGAAACAUUUUCUGGCGGUAUUUGUUUUCUGGCUGUAUUUGGUUCAAAUAUGAAAUGCACUUGUUUCUAC
rnacentral:rRNA from 1 species